UGUACAUACUUAACAUGUAUUUUUCUUUACUGUGGUGGUAACAAACCUCAUUAAAAGGGUGGAGGUAGAGUUACCUUCAGAUGUCUGUGCUGUUAAACCACAUGUGUUAUUAUUCAGGUAACAAGAGAACAUGUCAGUAACUGACAAGUGUGUGCUACUGUAUUUAUUAAAUCAGCAAAAGGAGUCAAGCUGUGUGGCUGCAAGCGUUUCUGAUUUAAGGCCCCGUUCACACCAAGAACAGUAACGGUAACUUUAACUAAGUUCUACAAAUCUUUUUAAAUUUAAGAGAAUAGCAGAGUUCAUAUCACAACUAUAACGAUAUACGAUACUGAGUAACGAUA